UACGUAGGGUGCAAGCGUUGUCCGGAAUUAUUGGGCGUAAAGAGCUCGUAGGCGGUCUGUUGCGUCGGCUGUGAAAACCCGGGGCUCAACCCCGGGCCUGCAGCCGAUACGAGCAGACUAGAGUUCGGCAGGGGAGACUGGAAUUCCUGGUGUAGCGGUGAAAUGCGCAGAUAUCCGGAGGAACACCGGUGGCGAAGGCGGGUCUCUGGGCCGGUACUGACGCUGAGACGCGAAAGCGUGGGGAGCGAACAGG
rnacentral:rRNA from 1 species